rnacentral:tRNA from 1 species
ACCUGGCUGGCUCAGUCAGUGGAGCAUGUGACUCUUAAUUUCAGGGUCGUGGGUUCAAGCCCCGUGUUGGGUG